rnacentral:rRNA from 1 species
UACGAAGGGGGGCUAGCGUUGCUCGGAAUUACUGGGCGUAAAGCGCACGUAGGCGGCUUUCUAAGUCGGGGGUGAAAUCCUGGAGCUCAACUCCAGAACUGCCUUCGAUACUGGAGCUUGAGUCCGGGAGAGGUGAGUGGAACUGCGAGUGUAGAGGUGAAAUUCGUAGAUAUUCGCAAGAACACCAGUGGCGAAGGCGGCUCACUGGCCCGGUACUGACGCUGAGGUGGCGAAAGCGUGGGGAG